UUUAAAUGGCCGCAGUACCUUGACUGUGCUAAGGUAGCAUAAUCAAUUGGCUUCUAAUUAAAGUCUGGAAUGAAAGGAAAUAUGAAGUAAUUCUAUCUUAAAGGAUUUUUUUUGAAUUUAUUUAAAUGAUGAAAAUAUCAUUUUAUAGAAAAAAGACGAGAAGACCCUUAGAGUUUUGAUAUUUAUAUAUUUUUGUUGGGGCGACAGGUAAACAUAUAACUUUACGAAUUAUCAUAUUGAUCGAUUUUUUAUAAGAAUAAUAAAAACUACCUUAGGGAUAACAGCAUUAUAUUUUUUUAUGAUUGUGACCUC
rnacentral:rRNA from 1 species